rnacentral:rRNA from 1 species
UACGUAGGCAGCAAGCGUUGUUCGGAGUUACUGGGCGUAAAGGGUGCGUAGGCGGCUUUUUAAGUUUGGUGUGAAAUCUCCCGGCUCAACUGGGAGGGUGCGCCGAAUACUGAGAGGCUAGAGUGCGGGAGAGGAAAGUGGAAUUCCUGGUGUAGCGGUGAAAUGCGUAGAUAUCAGGAGGAACACCGGUGGUGUAAACGGCUUUCUGGACCAUAGCUGACGCUGAGACACGAAAGCGUGGGUAGCAAACAGG